rnacentral:rRNA from 1 species
CAAGGAAUUUUCCCCAAUGGGCGCAAGCCUGAGGGAGCAACGCCGCGUGGAGGACGACGGCCUUCGGGUUGUAAACUCCUUUUGGGGGGGACGAUGAUGACGGUACCCCCCGAAUCAGCCCCGGCUAACUCUGUACCAGCAGCCGCGGUAAGACAGAGGGGGCAAGCGUUGUCCGGACUGACUGGGCGUAAAGCGCGCGCAGGCGGUCUGAGGCGUCGGUGCUGAAAGUCCACCGCUUAACGGUGGGAAGCGCGCCGAUACGCUCAGACUGGAGGGCGGGCGAGGGUGGUGGAAUUGCCGGUGUAGUGGUGAAAUGCGUAGAGAUCGGCAGGAACACCAGUGGCGAAGGCGGCCACCUAGCCCGCACCUGACGCUGAGGCGCGACAGCGUGGGGAGCGAACUGGAUUAGAUACCCAGGUAGUCCACGCCGUAAACGAUGCCGACUCGGUCUUCGUGGGCGAAUAGCCCUGGGGGGGCCCGAGCUCACGCGCUAAGUCGGCCGCC